CUCCGGUUGAUCCUGCCGGACCCGACUGCUAUCAGAGUGGGACUAAGCCAUGCGAGUCAACGCAGCAAUGCGUGGCAUACGGCUCAGUAACACGUAGUCAACAUGCCCAGGGGACGUGGAUAACCUCGGGAAACUGAGGAUAAACCGCGAUAGGCCAAGGUUUCUGGAAUGGAUCAUGGCUGAAACCUACAUGGCCCCUGGAUUGGACUGCGGCCGAUCAGGCUGUUGGUGAGGUAAUGGCCCACCAAACCUGUAACCGGUACGGGCUCUGAGAGGAGGAGCCCGGAGAUGGGCACUGAGACAAGGGCCCAGGCCCUAUGAGGCGCAGCAGGCGCGAAACCUCUGCAAUAGGCGAAAGCCUGACAGGGUUACUCUGAGUGAUUUCCGUUAAGGAGAUCUUUUGGCACCUCUAAAAAUGGUGCAGAAUAAGGGGUGGGCAAGUCUGGUGUCAGCCGCCGCGGUAAUACCAGCACCCCGAGUGGUCGGGACGUUUAUUGGGCCUAAAGCAUCCGUAGCCGGUUCUACAAGUCUUCCGUUAAAUCCACCUGCUUAACAGAUGGGCUGCGGAAGAUACUAUAGAGCUAGGAGGCGGGAGAGGCAAGCGGUACUCGAUGGGUAGGGGUAAAAUCCGUUGAUCCAUUGAAGACCACCAGUGGCGAAGGCGGCUUGCCAGAACGCGCUCGACGGUGAGGGAUGAAAGCUGGGGGAGCAAACCGGAUUAGAUACCCGGGUAGUCCCAGCUGUAAACGAUGCAGACUCGGUGAUGAGUUGGCUUAUUGCUAACUCAGUGCCGCAGGGAAGCCGUUAAGUUUGCCGCCUGGGGAGUACGGUCGCAAGACUGAAACUUAAAGGAAUUGGCGGGGGAGCA
rnacentral:rRNA from 1 species